rnacentral:rRNA from 1 species
GACGAACGCUGGCGGCGUGCUUAACACAUGCAAGUCGAACGGAAAGGCCCCUUUUGGGGUACUCGAGGGGCGAACGGGUGAGUAACACGUGCGUAACCUGCCCUUGACUUCGGGAUAACUUCAGGAAACUGGGGCUAAUACCGGAUAGGAAUCCUUGCUGCAUGGUGGGGGUUGGAAAGCUUCGUCGGUUUUGGAUGGACUUGCGGCUUAGCCGCUUGUUGGUGGUGUAGUGGCUUACCAAGGCUUUGACGGGAAGCCGGACCGGGAGGGCGACCGGGCACAUUGGGACUGGGACUCGGACCAGACUCCGACGGGUGGGAGAGGUAGGAGAGAUGGAAAAAUGGGCGGGAGCCUGAUGCAGAACCACCGAGGGCGGGAUGACGACCUUGGGGUUGGAGACCGCAUUCAGCAGGAGCGGAGCUUAUAGUGACGGUACCGGCAGAAGAAGCACCGGCUAACUACGUG